GCGCCGGGCGGAUUCCGACGGCGCGCGGGCCGGCGGCGGUGGGGCGCGAGGCCGAGCCGUUCCCGGUGCUCGUGUAGCCGCGUUGGCGAGAGACGCAGUGUUUGUCCAACUGUACAAGCUGCUGCGAAGUCAUUAUGCCCGGAGUUGCUUUGGCACGAACUGGUUUUAUAUUGAGCCCAGUAGAAGACAGACAAAAGAACAUUCGGAAUUAGGUGCUUCUGUGGAUUUUCUUGGACCUAACUUCUAGAACUCUUCGUUAUUUAAAAAAAAAAAAAAUUCAGUGGUGUACGUACUUGAGCGGAGGGCGUUGCUUCUGUCGCUGCGUGGACUUGGAAGUUAAUUUACUGUUCAGUGUAAAACUGAUUGCUGAAAACCGUUAAACACAUUUGGCCUCUGGGUUUCAAACAGCGAGUUAAGUAGCACUUGACUACCUCGGUUUCUAACUGGAUAGUGAACAGGAUGCCUUCUUAAAGGAAAAUCCUGUUGUACCAGACAACUAAAGCACUGGAUCAAAAGGAAAUAACACUAAGAGAGCUCUGGAAGAGGUUUCUGUGCUACCCAACUGUGCCAGCAUUCCCAUCUAAGCAACCUUGGAGACUUCCAGCACCAAUCAACAUGCAAGCUUUACCUGCCAAAAAAGCUGUCAAUGUCAUGAGAUGGCUGCCCUGUUAACAAGUAAAAGCGAAAGCUUUCUUAGGAAAACGUGAGUCAGGGCUGGAGAGAUGGCUAAACGGUUAAGUGCUUGCCUGUGAAGCCUGAGGACCCCGGUUUGAGGAUUGAUUCCCGAGGACCCACAUGAGCCAGAUGCACAAGGAGGCGCGCACGUCUGGAGUUCGUUUGUGCCCAUUCUUUCUGUCACUCUCUGCCUUUUUCUCUCUCUGCCGCUCCCAAAUAAAAAUAAACAAACAAAAAAAAAUUUUAAAAAGAAAAAUGUGAGUCAGCAUAGAAAGCAUUGUCUCAAAUGGAAUUUCUGCCUUUCAAUCUCACUCAUCAAGUUACUGUUUUUGUUUUUGGAGGCAGGGUCUUGCUCUAGCCCAGGCUGACCUGGAAUUCACUCUAUAGUCUCAGACUAGCCUCAAACUCAUGGCAGUCCUCCUAUCUUUUCCUCCUGAGUGCUGGGAUUUUAAAGGUAUGUACCACACCUGGCACCAAUAACCUUUGUAUCAUAACUUUAGUAUGAUAUUAGUAUAGUCACUCUGCCCAUCUGUUUGCUUCUUGAGGUCUUAUGUAGUCCAGGCUGGAAGAUACUAAACUUCUGAUCCUCCUGUGUUCAUAUCCUGAGUGCUUUAAGUUACAGGAGUGGGCAACCACCCCUGACUUUAUUUAUUUGGGGAAGAAAAAAAAAAAAAAAAACAAGGAACUUGUCAUGACAAAGAACUUCCUGAUUUACAAAGAGCUGUCUUCUACCUUAAACACUGUUGUUUCCUCCAAGCUAGCAUGGAAGAGGGGACUGUGUUUUGCAAAACUUUGAUAAUCCUUUUUCCUCUAGUUCUUUUCAGUUUAGUAAGGGAAAUAAUUGUACUGGAUUGUGGUUAACUUCUGGUUUCUACCAAGAGCAUUUCCCAAUCAAAACAAGACAAUUCACGUGUAAAAUGAUUACUAGGAGAUGCACCCAAGGGAGACCCUCUAGUUGAACAGCCAAACGAGUCACAUUUUUCUUCAGAAUGUAAUUUUCCACCUGGAGGAGCAUGUCUGAGGUUCUGAGUCUACUUGGAACUACAUUAGAGUAGUUCUAAAGUAUUCUUCACUGUGUACAAAAAUAGUGUGACAAUGGGUAGGUAAGAAUUGUUGAAAAGCACAGUUUACAAAUGAAAUGCAUUUAGAUGACGAUGACAUAGCUGUCCCCAUUUAGUCUGUUCAUGGAUGUCAACAGUGAUGGUGCACCCCUCAGCAGGUCAGAUGCAAUGGAAACCACAGGUUUCCUUAAGGCAAGCACUUCACAACUAGUUGUUUUCUGUUAAUUCUUGAGUAAAUCACAUUCUGUAUUCAUACAAAAACAAUGUUUUUUUCUCUGACAAACUGUACAUAUAGAAAUAAAUUUCCAAAUGGACAUGAA